CGCCUCCUUGCGCACUUGGAUAGCGCGUUCGGUUGCUAACCGAAAUGUUCGUGGUUCGAGCUCAUCUGGGGUGU